UACGUAGGGUGCUAGCGUUGUUCGGAAUCAUUGGGCGUAAAGCGCGUGUAGGUGGUUAGUAAAGUCGGCUGUGAAAUCCCUGGGCUCAACCGAGGAAGUGCAUUCAAAACUAACUAGCUUGAGAGUGGUAGAGGAAGGUGGAAUUCCUAGUGUAGAGGUGAAAUUCGUAGAUAUUAGGAGGAAUACCGGAGGCGAAGGCGGCCUUCUGGACCAUUUCUGACACUGAGACGCGAAAGCGUGGGUAGCAAACAGG
rnacentral:rRNA from 1 species